UGGUGGAGUGAUUUGUCUGCUUAAUUGCGAUAACGAACGAGACCUUAACCUGCUAACUAGCCCGUAUUGCUUUGGCAGUACGCUGGCUUCUUAGAGGGACUAUCGGCUCAAGCCGAUGGAAGUUUGAGGCAAUAACA
rnacentral:rRNA from 1 species